AAGUCGUAACAAGGUUUCCGUAGGUGAACCUGCGGAAGGAUCAUUAUUGAAAUAAACCUGAUGGGUUGUUGCUGGUUCUCUAGGGAGCAUGUGCACGCCUUGUCAUCUUUAUAUCUCCACCUGUGCACUUUUUGUAGACCUUUCAGGUUUAUGUUGCUUCAUUUACCCCAAUGUAUGUUAAUAAAAUGUUGUGCCUAUAUAAUAUAUACAA
rnacentral:misc_RNA from 1 species